GCAGUGGUGGUUUAGUGGUAGAAUUCUCGCCUUCCAUGUGGGAGACCCAGGUUCGAUUCCUGGCCAAUGCA
rnacentral:tRNA from 1 species